AGCGAACGCUGGCGGCAGGCCUAAUACAUGCAAGUCGAACGGCUCUUCGGAGCAGUGGCGGACGGGUGAGUAACGCGUGGGAACGUGCCCUUUGGUUCGGAACAACACAGGGAAACUUGUGCUAAUACCGGAUGAGCCCUUUGGGGGAAAGAUUUAUCGCCAUUGGAGCGGCCCGCGUUGGAUUAGCUAGUCGGUGGGGUAAUGGCCCACCAAGGCGACGAUCCAUAGCUGGUCUGAGAGGAUGAUCAGCCACACUGGGACUGAGACACGGCCCAGACUCCUACGGGAGGCAGCAGUAGGGAAUCUUGCGCAAUGGGCGAAAGCCUGACGCAGCCAUGCCGCGUGAAUGAUGAAGGUCUUAGGAUUGUAAAAUUCUUUCACCGGGGAAGAUAAUGACGGUACCCGGAGAAGAAGCCCCGGCUAACUUCGUGCCAGCCGCCGCGGUAAAAC
rnacentral:rRNA from 1 species